AGGACGAACGCUGGCGGCGUGCUUAACACAUGCAAGUCGAGCGGAAAGGCCCUUCGGGGUACUCGAGCGGCGAACGGGUGAGUAACACGUGAGCAACCUGCCCUUAGCUUCGGGAUAGCUCCGGGAAACCGGAAUUAAUACCGGAUAUGACCACGGCCGACAUCGGCCAUGGUGGAAAGUUUUUCGGCUAGGGAUGGACUCGCGGCCUAUCAGCUAGUUGGUGAGGUAACGGCCCACCAAGGCGACGACGGGUA
rnacentral:rRNA from 1 species